rnacentral:rRNA from 1 species
GUGUGAUCGAUCAAGGGCGCACGGUGAAUGACUUGGCAUCGAGAGGCGAUGAAGGACGCGAGAACCUGCGAUAAGCCCAGGGGAGCCGGUAACUAGGCCCUGAUCCUGGGAUUUCCGAAUGGGGCAACCCACCCGCAAGGGUACCUGACGCUGAAUGCAUAGGCGUCAGGAGCGAACGUGGAGAAGUGAAACAUCUCAGUAUCCACAGGAAAGGAAAGCAACAGCGACUCCGCAAGUAGCGGCGAGCGAACGCGGAUAAGCCGGCGGAACCCCGAACGCCCUGGAAUGGGCGGCCAAAGAAGGUGAAAGCCCUGUAGAUGGAAGCCGGUGAGGCCUAGAGUAAACUCGGGCUCGGGAAACCCGGGUUGAACAUGGGGGGUCCACCCUCCAAGCCUAAGUACUCCUCGAUGACCGAUAGCGAACCAGUAAGGCGACUGAACGUUGACAAGCUCUCCGACGAGGGGAGUGAAAGAGUACCUGAAACCGUGCGCUUACAAGCGGUCGGAGCCCUUCGGGGUGACGGCGUGCUUUUUGCAUAAUGAGCCGGCGAGUUGGUCUGUACGGCGAGCCUAAGCCCUGACGGGGCGGAGGCGGAGCGAAAGCGAGUCCGAAAUGGGCGCCGAGUCGUACGGGCCAGACGCGAAACCUUGUGAUCUACCCAUGGUCAGACUGAAGGGCGGGUAAAACCGCUUGGAGGGUCGAAGCCGUGACCGUUGAAAAGGUCUGGCAUGAACUGUGGGGAGGUGGUCAAAGUCCAAUCAAACUGGGAGAUAGCUCGUUCUCUCCGAAAUAACUCUAGGGUUAGCCUCAGACGGCAGUCACUGGGGGUAGAGCUACUGGAUGAGGGGUGGGGUCGCAAGACUACCCUCCUCAACCAAACUCCGAAUACCAGUGAUCAAGGUCUGGGAGAUAGACGGCGAGUGACAAUAUCCGUCGUCAAAAGGAGAAAAAUCCAGAUCGCCAGCUAAGGCCCCAAAUCCGUGCUUAGUUCGAAAGGAAGUCAAGUUGCAAUGACAGCCAGGAUGUUGGCUUAGAAGCAGCCACCAUUUAAAGAGUGCGUAACAGCUCACUGGUCGAGGAACUUGGCGCCGAUAAUUAUCGGGAAUAAGCAUGGAGCCGAAGCUGCGGGCUCGAAAGAGCGGUAGGAGAGCGUUCCUGGGGCGGUGAAGCGGUUCCGAAAGGGGUCGUGGAGCGCCAGGAAGUGAAUAUGCCGGCUUGAGUAACGAUAAAACGGGUGAGAAUCCCGUUCGCCGUAAGCCCAAGGUUUCCUGGGGAAGGUAAUUCCGCCCAGGGUUAGUCGGGACCUAAGGCAAGGCCGAAAGGCGUAGUCGAUGGACAUCAGGUUAAUAUUCCUGAACCGUCAUCGCGAACGGAUUCCUGAGAUCAACGGGACUGUCAGAUGUCCAGGCCGCAAGGCCGAUGUUGGUGGAUGGAGUUCCUAGAAAAAACGAUGACAAGCCCGUACCAAAACUGACACAGGUGGGCGAGGCGAAUAGCCUCAGGCGCUCGAGAGAACGGUCGUGAAGGAACUAGGCAAGUUAACCCCGUAAGUUCGCAAGAAGGGGGCCCGCAAGGGCGCAGAGAAAAGGGUCUGGGAACUGUUUAUCAAAAACACAGCUCUGUGCUAAGACGCAAGUCGAUGUAUACAGAGUGACGCUUGCCCGAUGCCGGAAUGUCAAGGAAGGGGUUCAUCGAAAGAGAAGAUCCCGACCGAAGCACCGGCGAAUGGCGGCCGUAACUAUGACGGUCCUAAGGUAGCGAAGUUCCUUGUCGGGUAAGUUCCGACGCGCAUGAAUAGCGUAAUCACUGGACUCCUGUCUCCACGACCGACUCGGUGAAAUAGUAG